UUAGGGCAAAAGAAAUAAGUACAAUUGGCAUGUUAAUGUUGGUUCACAAAAAAUCAUUUACCAAAUACCUGGUAACUUCCAUAAUGAGCUCAGACAGACGCCAGCACUCACACUGGCAUCGUCUCUGGGGGCAGCUUUGUUUCUGGGGGCAGCAUUGUUUCUGGGGGAUGGCACUGUUUCUGGGGAGGCCUCCUUCAGCACAAGCAGCUACAAACCGCAGUGACACCCAGAGCCAAGAAGUGGUUAUGAAUAGCCUCUUGUGGCUGAAGCUGUUUGCAGCCUGGUGCUUUUUAAAGGACUUUUCUUUAAACAAUAGAGCUAAAACACAAACAGCCUUCAUUCAAAAUAAGAGAAAAUCAUAUCCCGAGUUAAACCUUCAUAUGAGAAUCAAACAUGCUCUUCCAAGCCCCAGGAAAAGUAACACUUAGCUUUUAUCUCUGAUCUUAAAAAAUGAGUAUUACUUUAA
rnacentral:misc_RNA from 1 species